AAUAACAAUAGUCUUUGAAUGCGAACAGCAUGGAUCCUGACCACACUGUGCGGAUGUGCAGGCUGGUCUGGAUCCAUGCUGUUCGCAAACCCACUAUGUUGGUUUUCUAAUGGCACGGCUCAUAUACUUUCAUUCCCAUUAGAUAAGUUUAAAUAUCAGAGCAUUUAUCUCUCUCAUUAUGCUUAAUUGACUGCAUAAGUUGAUAGUAGUGCUGUUACAUGUGCAUAAAACUGGGCAUUUUCUAACUAACUUUUGAGCUGACAUAAGAAACUAUCUUGGUACCAACAGCAGCUGUUCCUUAACUUUUAGCCUGCUGGCGGCAAGUGAUUUUGCUUUUGCAACCAGUGAAGACCAUGAUCAGCCUGCACAUCCGUUCAGUCUGAUCAUGGAUCUACACUGUUCGCAGUUCAGUCAGUAUUUUUUCGGUAAGCACACCUUUAAAUGAUAAGUUCAUUAUAGAAAUUUAGCAGGCUAAAGGUUAACUAUUUAUGAACUUCUAUAAAAUUUCAGCUGUGAGUAGAACAAUUGUAAUGCAAGAAAGGAUAAAUUGUUAUAUAAGGUAUACAUCGUGGGUUAUUAUACAGUAAAACCUGUAAUAAGUAGCCAGCAAAGGAAGCAACAUAAUCUGUCUGCUUAAGGCAGAUAGCUGCUUAAGACAGGUGGCCAUUAAUGCAGUUCAACUGUACUUCAUUUUGGGUAUGAAAGAUACCGAACUUUGACUCAUGCUGUAAGUGAGAUCACAGUUGUUCUGCUUAAAUUAGAAGUUUUACACAGUACUAUACAAAGCAGCGGAAACACAAUAGUUAGUUUUAGUUUGUACAGCUGUAACUGAACAGAUAUGAUUGAUAAUGUUUCUGUGAUGUCCUUUAUUGAACUUUAAAUAUUUGUUAAGAAAAUAUUUAAAGUGUAUAUUUAUUAAACUACAUGCACUGGAAGGCUAAAACUUGCCAGGUUUCUCACAUAUAUUUACUUGGCAGAAAAAGUACAAAUUAUUUCCGUCAUGAUAAAGGAUUACUAUAGUUAGCCUGAUUUCUUAAAGCUUUUACAAACUCUUUGAAAUCAUUUUACAGGUACGAAAGGAAGUUAUAACCAAAUGAAUAAAAAAUUAGAGAAUAAUGAUUUUUUGUUGUUAUUGAAUGCACAAUUUUCACAAACUUGCGUUUUACUGUGAAGAAACUAAUAUCGUUUUAGCCUUGCACAUGAAACUUAUUCGUCAUCUAUUAUAGGUUAGAUUUCAUUGCCAGUCAGUUUCCUUGUUGAGCUGGAUACAGUAUAUAUUACUUUGUAAGUAUUUUAUUUGUUGAAUAAAAUGUCAUGAGCUAAUA
rnacentral:lncRNA from 1 species